CUGAGAUGAAGAGUGGCGACUCAGCCAGGAGCCCCAAGCAGGGGCCGACUGGAGUGGAAUUCUCAGGACACGGAGGUGCCCCACUGCGGGAUUGUGAAAUUGGUUUCGCUGGAAUUGUGUGACAAUCGCCUCCUACAUACCACAGGGAUAUUCAAAUUGGAUGACGCCCCGCACGGAUCUGCUACUCGCAAAAUCAUCUGGCACACGAUCCUGGAAAAGGCUGGUGUCCAAAUAGGGAAUACGCUCACCCACAGUCAUUGUGCAAGUUGUCAGGAUGUGUGUAUCUACAAAGAUGGUUGAGAGCCUCGAGGUUUUUCUUACUCUAUUUUAGGAGAAGAAUCCAUUUCUGUGUUAACACCAGAACUGCUUAAGAAUCAACACUUUUCUAGGUGUCAGGUGAUAUCUUACUUGAAGGAAACACAUUUUGUAGAAAUUAAGACUUUCAGGAAUCAUUUAAGGAAAUAUACCAUAGUAGCUACCAUUUCCAAUAAAAUGAUAAAAAGCAGUUAGCUGAGGGGAGGGUGGGAUGAAUAGGCAGAGCACAGAGGAUUUUUAGGGCAGUAAAACUACUCCGUGGGGUACUAUAAUGGUAAGUACAUGUCAUUAUACAUUUGUCCAAACCCAUAGGAUGUGUAACACCAAGAACAACCCUAAAGUAAACAGUGGGCUUUGGGUGAUAAUGAAGUGUCAGUAUAAGUUCAUCAGUUGUAACUAAUGUAACCAUUCUGGAGGGGGUGUUGAUAAUGCAGGAGCUUAUGCAUGCAAAGGGUAGGGGAUGAGUAGAAAAUCUCUGUACCUACCUCCCAGUUUUGCUAUGAACCUAAA